UCCGAUAUGGUGUAGUGGCUAACAUUAUCGCCUCUCAUCCUAGUGCUUAGUGCGCGAUAGCCCGGGGUUCGAUUCCCCGUGUCGGAA
rnacentral:tRNA from 1 species